UACGUAGGGUGCGAGCGUUGUCCGGAAUUACUGGGCGUAAAGAGCUCGUAGGUGGUUUGUCGCGUUGUUCGUGAAAACUCACAGCUCAACUGUGGGCGUGCGGGCGAUACGGGCAGACUAGAGUACUGCAGGGGAGACUGGAAUUCCUGGUGUAGCGGUGGAAUGCGCAGAUAUCAGGAGGAACACCGGUGGCGAAGGCGGGGUCUCUGGGGCAGUAACUGACGCUGGAGGAGCGAAAGCCGUGGGGAGCGAACAGG
rnacentral:rRNA from 1 species